GAUGAACGCUAGCGGCAGGCCUAAUACAUGCAAGUCGAACGGUGUCUUCGGACAUAGUGGCGCACGGGUGCGUAACACGUAUGCAACCUACCUUACAUUGGGGGAUAGCCUUUCGAAAGGGAGAUUAAUACCGCAUAAGACAGUAGUCUGGCAUCAGACAGCUGUUAAAGAUUUAUCGAUGUAAGCUGGGCAUGCGUCCAAUUAGUUAGUUGGCGGGGUAACGGCUCACCAAGACUAUGAUUGGUAGGGGAACUGAGAGGUCAAUCCCCCACACUGGAACUGAGAUACGGGCCAGACUCCUACGGGAGGCAGCAGUAGGGAAUAUUGGGCAAUGGACGCAAGUCUGACCCAGCCAUGCCGCGUGCAGGAAGAAGGCGUUAUGCGUUGUAAACUGCUUUUAUACAGGAAGAAACGACUCUUGCGAGAGGCAUUGACGGUACUGUAUGAAUAAGCACCGGCUAACUCCGUGCCAGCAGCCGCCGCCGUAA
rnacentral:rRNA from 1 species